GGAUAGCUCAGUGGGUAGAGCAUGAGACUCUUAUUCCCAGGGUUGUGGGUUUGAGACCCAUGUUGGGCA